CAGCAAGUUUCAAUAAGCUCUGGAAUCUGGUUCGGGACCAGGGGGUCGGAGGUUCAAAUCCUCUCUCCCCGACCA
rnacentral:tRNA from 1 species